rnacentral:rRNA from 1 species
ACGGGAGGCAGCAGUGAGGAAUAUUGGUCAAUGGGCGGAAGCCUGAACCAGCCAAGUCGCGUGAAGGAUGAAGGUAUUAUGUAUUGUAAACUUCUUUAGACGUAGAGAAAUAAGGGUGUCGUGACACCUGAUGCUAGUAUACGUAGAAUAAGGAUCGGCUAACUCCGUGCCAGCAGCCGCGGUAAUACGGAGGAUCCGAGCGUUAUCCGGAUUUAUUGGGUUUAAAGGGUGCGCAGGCGGCCCUGUAAGUCAGCGGUUAAAUCGUGGAGCUCAACUCCAUCCCGCCGUUGAUACUGCAGGGCUUGAUUGCGGUCGAGGUUGGCGGAAUUCGCCGUGUAGCGGUGAAAUGCAUAGAUAUGACGAAGAACUCCGAUUGGGAAGCCAGCUUACUGUAGCGCCACUGACGCUGAUGCUCGAAAGCGUGGGUAUCGAACAGGAUUAGAUACCCUGGUA